CCUUUACCUAAACCCAAGACCCCAGCAUCCCCACCUUACUGUAAAAGUUUAAAUUGUUUAAAA
rnacentral:tRNA from 1 species